rnacentral:rRNA from 1 species
AUUGAACGCUGGCGGCAUGCUUUACACAUGCAAGUCGAACGGCAGCACAGCAGAGGUAACUCUGUGGGUGGCGAGUGGCGAACGGGUGAGUAAUACAUCGGAACGUACCCUGUUGUGGGGGAUAACUACGCGAAAGCGUAGCUAAUACCGCAUACGCCCUGAGGGGGAAAGCGGGGGACCCUAAAUAGAGCGCACUGGGGAGUGCGUUGUAUUUAGGGCCUCGCGCAAUAGGAGCGGCCGAUGUCGGAUUAGCUAGUUGGUGAGGUAAAGGCUUACCAAGGCGACGAUCCGUAGCUGGUCUGAGAGGAUGAUCAGCUACACUGGGACUGAGACACGGCCCAGACUCCUACGGGAGGCAGCAGUGGGGAAUUUUGGACAAUGGGGGCAACCCUGAUCCAGCCAUGCCGCGUGAGUGAAGAAGGCCU